GUUUGCUCCAGUGGGAUAACCAGAUUUUGUGAUUUGGGGGCUCAGUCUCUCUGAGACACAUGUGUACCAGGAGGAAGGAAUCUGAGGCUGCCAGUCCCCUGAAAGCCUAGGUUCAGAAACUGCUCAUCAUCACUUCCAUAGCCUUCCACUGGUAAAGGAGCCACAGGACCAGCCCCAAUGCUGGCAGAGAAAUUGAACUUCACUUCCUGAUGUAGCGCUUUAAAUGCAACUACUCCGUGAAGAAGUCCUGGACUCACAUGCUCUUUUUCUCUGAAGGACUUGUCAGACUUAGAUUUAGCUACAGCCUCAGUGGGAAGACCAGGAGGGUCUCUGGUCUCAGAUCACAGUUUCCCCAGACCCAGAUGUUAUGAUGAUCUCGACCCACUGCCUUUCUCUCUGAGGUCACCAGAAGUUCAACUGAACUAACUAGAAAACCACACAUUUCCAAGUUUUAGAUGCCACGGCAGACAGUCAUGAAGAGCUGGACUUGUUAAGUUACAUUUCUCUAUUUGGAACUUCUAAUUCCCUGUGUCAGCAAUGGAAAUGGAUGUUUAUUUCCACAAGAAAGGAGAAAAGCUGUUUUCUCCCAUACAUAGGUUCCUAUACCAUCAGUCAAACCCUCUUCCCUGGAGAUUAUCUGAUGAAUAAAUUAGCCUUCUAUAAAUAUAUGUUGCAAGCAGUCUUGUACCAUUCAGAACCAUUACUGUAAUUCAUCAAAGCAAAUCUAUAAAUGGGACAACUAUAUCGAGGAGGGAAGAAUUAGGACAUAAAGAUUUACCCAUAUUUUUGAGCAGAUUUGAAACUUCAAUUUGGUAGCCAAUGAUUUGGACCUUACCGAUGUCCUUGGAAAACCCAGAAGCCUCAUACCUGGCCACCUUCCCACUUUUUUGACAUUUUUGCCUGGGAUGCAACACAUUGUGUGCAUUGUCUGAUAUUUUCUGCUAGAUAAUACUUUGGGCUAUUUUUUAAGCCAAGCACUUGAGCCGAUAAGAGUCAUAUUUUUCCCAUCUAUAUUUCCAACAUAUUGCCAGAGGUUCUGGGCAAUAGAUAUGUUUUUGAGUAAAUAGAAUACUAAAUCGAGGCAAUGGAUCAUAAGUUUCAGGCAACAAGGCUCUGUCUUCACCAUCCAAUAAAAAAGGUCACUAGACAAUGAGAAAGGAAUGGAAUGAUGAGAGACAGAAAGUUUUAAUAAUGCCGUCAUCAGAAAGAUCAGUCAUGCUUUUCUUCCUCUUCCCGGA
ensembl:lncRNA